rnacentral:sRNA from 1 species
GCUAGGUGUGGUGGUGCAUGUCUGUAAUCCCAGUUACUCGGGAGGCUGAGGCAGGAGAAUUGCAAGUUCAAGGCCAGCCUCUGCAGCUUAGGGAAACCCUAAGCAAGUUAGCAAGACCCUGUUUCAA